rnacentral:lncRNA from 1 species
AUUUCAUUUUGUUUUUAUCAUCUUUAAGUAGAAAGUCAUAAUUACAAGUUCCUGAAAUUAGAAAAAGAAAAUAAAUUUAUUUGGUGCGAAUCCAAUAACUAGAUGAUAACUCAUGAAAAAUAUUCUAGAAGAGUGUUUGUGUACUCUCUUGAGUUUGGCACUCAUAAAAUCUAUGGCAUCAUUCUAUAGCAUACACAGUUACUAUAAAUACACUUCGGUUUAAAAGGAGAUUGGCACAUGUCUUGAGGACAGUCAGAAUCUUGGAAACAUCUAGUACCCGCUGUAACAAAAAAAAAAAAAAAUCUGACUAUUAUAACAGUAAAUAAUGAAAUUUGAAAAAGAUUAAAAAAAAAUUAAGAAAAGUGUCUUGCCUUCAACAUUUGUUGCAAAAUGAAUUAGGGAAACACAGAUAAUCAUAACAUAAACAAACAUGACAAUUUUAACCAUUUUUUCCGCCUUUGCAUGUAUCAAAUAUCAAAUAUAAUAUUAUUUUAUCACUUUAUAAUUUAUAAAACUCAUGUUCUA